rnacentral:lncRNA from 1 species
UACCAGACUGGGUAUUGAUUCUAAGGAUACCCCCGAUAAACAUCUUUCGUGCUAAAGCCCAUUCUAGAAUUUACUUCCCAGCUAUCUUUGAUGUUCAUAUUGUCAGAGGUGGUGGCCGCUGAAAUAGGCAAAGAUAUGGAGCAUAUCUUGGGUCCAGGUAAAGGAGGUGGGUGCACACAAGUGAAAAGAUGUUGCUGAAGUCACAUGGCUUCAAGCAGUAGAGCUGACUGACUGUCCUCUAGUCCAGUUGUCCCUACAGGAUGAAAGCUUCUCUCCAUUACAGAGACCUUGGGAGUCCAGAGGAAGGUCUUUUUACCAUCAGCAUUCUCUCCUGUGUUCAAGGACUGUCAGCCAAAGAUGACCAGCUUUCCUUCAGAAAGAAAUGCAUUCAAAGAACCUACAUUCACAACGUAAAGAAAUAAAGUACACACAAGACCGCCAAGCAUUAAGAUUCUCCUGUGGAGCUAGGCUACAAUCCUUUAAAUGAAGACAGACAGAGAGCUAGGUGGCUGCAGCCCAGUGCUACACCUCACCCCUCCCUCAGUGUCAUGCAGACAAAAUGUAUUCAGAAGUCAGAAGUGAAGUUGUGCAAAUCCAUCAUUGACGCUAGCUUCAAGGUUACCUCGGGGGAGCCAAAUGUACCCCUGCCAGAGAGCUGGAUGGAUGAUGAUGGGGACAGAAAUUCUGGGGGAGUUGUAAAUGGCAGCCACUGCCUCUAUAGGAAACCCAAAGGGAAAACAGCAGAGGAGGAGGUGGUGGAGGAGCCACUGCCCUCUUGAAGGGUUCAAUGUCAUUCUGCGGACACAGCCAAAUAACUUUUUCUUCCCUGCUGCUCCUCCAUUUG